rnacentral:rRNA from 1 species
UACGUAGGGGGCAAGCGUUGUCCGGAAUCAUUGGGCGUAAAGAGCGUGUAGGCGGCCCGGUAAGUCCGCCGUGAAAGUCCAGGGCUCAACCCUGAGAUGCCGGUGGAUACUGUCGGGCUCGAGUCCGGAAGAAGAGUGUGGAAUUCCUAGUGUAGCGGUGAAAUACGCAGAUAUCAGGAGGAACACCAAUGGCGAAAACAGCACUCUGGGACGUGACUGACGCUGAGACGCGAAAACGUGGGGAGCAAACAGG